AGGGAUGAUGGGAAUUGUAGUCCAAAAAACAGCUGGAGGGCCAAGUUUGGCCGUGCCUGGUCUAGAACAAGGUUUCCCAAACUUGGGUUUCCAGCUGUUUUUGGACUACAACUCCCAUCAUCCCUA